ACAGCAUAGCUGGUCAGUGGUCAAAAAACAGAAGUGGGCCCCAACCCCGGAGACAAAUGAGGAACUCCCCAGUCAAAGCCAAUCGCAGUCUACUGGGGGAUGAAAACAAUGUACUUAUGUGACUCUCUUCUAGGUGCUGAGGAUACAGCCGUGGACAUCUAGCCCCAGUGCAGCUUGUAUUCUGAUGGGAUAGGAGGUGAACCCCAGCAACUGAGCUCCUUUGUUCAUGGCAAUAAGCCGCCCAGAGCUGACUCCCAUUCGGCUGACCACACUGGCUGUGAGCUGCAGCAUUUCGGCUUCACGUCCAGGACCUCAGAAGUACAGCAGGAAACUUGACCUAGUCCUCUUCCAGACUUCAGGCCCUUCCCUAACCCCAGCAAGACCAGCCAACAGGUUUCAGCUCCCAACACAGGGCGGAUCUCAAACAUAACAGGUGACUCAAAUGCAGUCUGCGAUAGAGUUGGCGCUUUGAUGAGUGUCUGGCCCCAGGAGAAGGAUUUCAGAAAGCUCAGUUCACAGCACACAUCUGGAGGGGCAUCCUCAGGGCUUGGGUUUCUGGCAGGCAUCUGGGCUGAGGGACUAGCAGGGCUGUCUAUGCGCUCACACAGGAAGCCCCGAGAAACAUGCCACCCGUGGCAGCCAGCUGGGCUUUCCGCAGAGCCAGGGUUCUGUCCCACUUGUGAGCUGCUUAUCUCAUCCUCCACCCACACCCCAGGGAGGCAGUGAAGGGCUUUCAGGCAGGAGCAGCCUCAUAAGCACUAUAAUAAUGUCAGUUGACUUGAGUUGACUAAUAUCAUGACAGCGUGUUGCAGUCUUCAGAGAAAGAUACUAAAAUGGUUGUGCUAUUACGGAUCUCAGAGCAUUAAGGAAAGUUGACCAGCUUUCACUGGGCUGAACCAAGGGGUGAAGCAGUCAGAGACAAGGCUGGGACUUUCCUGUUUCUGUAAAACAUACUUCUUUCCAUUCAAAAAGUUUUGGACAGGCAAUAUGCAAAAAGACAACUGCUGAAUGAUUCCACUUGUAUGAGGCACCUAGAGGAGUCAAAGUCACAGAGACAGAAAGUAGAAUGGUGGGUGCCAGGGACUAGGGGGAGGGGAAUGAGAAGUUCGUGUUUAAUGGGUACAGUUUCAGUUUGGAAAGAUGCAAAGGCUUCCGGGAUGAUGGUGAUGUUUGCACCAUAAUGUGAAUGUACUUAAUGAAUGCCACCAAAUGGUACGCUUAAAAAUGCUUCAAAUAGGCCAGGUGCAGUGGCUCAUGCCUGUAAUCCCAGCACUUUGGGAGGCUGAUGUGGGCGGUUCACCUGAGAUCAGAAGUUUGAGACCAGACUAACCAACAUGGAGAAACCCCAUCUCUACCAAAAAUGCAAAAUUAGCUGGGCAUGAUGGUGCACGCCUGUAAUCCCCGCUACUCAGGAGGCUGAGGCAGGAGAAUCGCUUGAACCCAGGAGGCAGAGGUUGUGGUGAGCCAAGAUCGUGCCAUUGCACUCCAGCCUGGGCAACAGAGCAAGACUCUGUCUACAAAAAAAAAAAAAAAGCUUCAAACGGUAAAUUUUAUGUUGUGUAUAUUUUACCACAAUUAAAAUGUAUGGAAAUAUUUAUUCUGAUUCUUCAGUUAGAUCAUUUGUGGGUUAAAUAUGCCCCAUGUAGCAUUUCUUUCUGUAAAUAUACUGCCCCAUCCCCCACAUGGUAUUAGACUGAGAUUCCUAAGGGUAGAAACUAUUUAUCAUUCAUCUUUUUAGCCCCACUCCACCCAGUACAAAGCUCUAUAUAACAUACCACUGGAUAAAUGUUAUUUAAAGAAAAAAAUGGAUGAACAAGUGAACUCAGAAUUCCCAUACCGUUGCACCACGUUUUUUUCUAAACAUGUGUUCACAGAAUAGUAGCAGCAACAAUGAGCAUUAUGAAUGCCCUGUAUUCAGAGUAAAUAAGACUGUCAAUCCAAAAGAAAAAGAAAUAGUUAAGUGCAUAUAUCUAGCCAUAUUGAAAGUUUCCUACCCUAAGUCCCCAGACAGCCCUCACUUGACUCUCAUGAGUAGUAGGAGUGAUAAACGAAUGAAUAAAUGAAUGACUUUUCUUCCUGGUCCACAGGCUUAGAUUUUCCCAGUCUGGAUAUCAAGGGCAUUCCAUGCAGUGAGACUUUAAAGUCUCUAGAGAGGGACAGGAACCACCUGAAGUUGUUUCAGCUUAGACGUCCCUUUCCUUAGUAGCUCCUUCCUCCAGGGUGAGGCAGGAAGUGAUCGCCAGCUGCCUCCCUGUUGACCAGGCUAUGAAACCUUUUACAGUCACUUGGCUUCACUUCUGUGCUGUUUUUUUGGGUGAAGACUUUCUCAUUUUCUGGUAAAGCAGAUAUUUAAGGGGCAGGAAACUCAACAUCAAAAGACCGGAACAGAAGAGAGAAAUCCUUGCAUUAUUCGGAACCAGCGAGUAUGUAUGGUGCAGGCAACUGAAACACCCUCUCUCUCUGCCUUUUUUUUUUUUUUUUUUGCAUUGAACACUCUCAGUGUCUUCAAAUUCCUAAGAUUUUUUUCUUAACAUCUCACAUUUUAUUAAAUAAAUCCAACCGCUGUGUAUCACCGUC
rnacentral:lncRNA from 10 species